rnacentral:lncRNA from 1 species
UUUUUUUCUUUUUUUCUUUUUUUAUUUUGGAAAAACUUCAAAAAUCCUAAUGUGGUUUCGCACUUUCUCACUUUGAUAUCCUGUAGUUUAAAGUGUAUCAAUCUAUCCCCAUGUGGUUUUAUUUUUAUUUUUUUAGCAGCUUUUUUUCUUAAUAUUUUGUUAAAUUAUAUAUAAAAACUUCAGAUAUCCACCUAGAUUUAUUGAAUAUUUACUUUAGUAUAAUUUAAUUUUAACUUUUUUACUGAUUUAAGAAAAAAAACAAAUGGAUACUAAAAAAAGAAAAAUGAAAUCACAUGAGGGCAAAUUGAUACACUUUAAACCACAGGGUACUAAAGUAAGAAAGUGAGAAACCACAGGGAGGUUUUUGAAGUUUUUCCUUUUAUUUUUUGCCCCUUUCCUGCAUGAAAACAUGUAGAAUUACUUGAGGCUUGAAAUAUUUUGAAUCUAUUAUCUCACAUUUCAAAAAUUUAAUUUUAUUGUCCAAAUUUUUCAUUUGUUUGAUUUUACCCGGUUAAUGACACUUUAAUUUUAAAGUUUAAGUUAACUUUUUAGUUUAAUAAAUUUAUAGAUGAGAGAAUUGUAUAAAAUAAACUAACUACAUUUAUAAAGAUAAACGAUACACUCAAGUUUUGAAGUCAAAUUGACGUCUACUGAUUUGAAUCAAAUAAAUUAAAAGAUUAAAUAAUAAAAUCAAAAUUAAAAAAAAUAUCUUGUUCAAUCAGAACGAUCAAUAGUUCACAUAACUUUCGUACAUUUUUAUUUUUUAAAAAAUUUUGUAUAUUUUUUGACUUUUCUUUC